rnacentral:rRNA from 1 species
UACAGAGGGGGCAAGCGUUGUUCGGAAUUACUGGGCGUAAAGGGCGCGUAGGCGGCCUUCUAAGUCGAACGUGAAAUCCCCGGGCUCAACCCGGGAACUGCGUCCGAUACUGGAAGGCUUGAAUCCGGGAGAGGGAUGUGGAAUUCCAGGUGUAGCGGUGAAAUGCGUAGAUAUCUGGAGGAACACCGGUGGCGAAGGCGACAUCCUGGACCGGUAUGACGCUGAGGCGCGAAAGCCAGGGGAGCAAACGGG